rnacentral:tRNA from 1 species
GCCUUCGUAGCUCAGUGGUAGAGCACCAGUUUCGUAAACUGGGGGUCGCCAGUUCAAUCCUGGUCGAAGGCA